GCUGGGCUCAGUGGGAGAGCUCUUGCCUUACAUGCAUGAGGCUCUGGGUUCCAUCCCCAGCACAGCA
rnacentral:tRNA from 1 species